rnacentral:rRNA from 1 species
GAUGAACGCUGGCGGCGUGCCUAAUACAUGCAAGUCGAGCGAACAGACGAGGAGCUUGCUCCUCUGACGUUAGCGGCGGACGGGUGAGUAACACGUGGAUAACCUACCUAUAAGACUGGGAUAACUUCGGGAAGCCGGAGCUAAUACCGGAUAAUAUAUUGAACCGCAUGGUUCAAUAGUGAAAUACGGUUUUGCUGUCUCUUAUAGAUGGAUCCGCGCCGCAUUAGCUAGUUGGUAAGGUAACGGCUUACCAAGGCAACGAUGCGUAGCCGACCUGAGAGGGUGAUCGGCCACACUGGAACUGAGACACGGUCCAGACUCCUACGGGAGGCAGCAGUAGGGAAUCUUCCGCAAUGGGCGAAAGCUUGACGGAGCAACGCCGCGUGAGUGAUGAAGGUCUUCGGAUCGUAAAACUCUGUUAUUAGGGAAGAACAAAUGUGUAAGUAACUAUGCACGUCUUGACGGUACCUAAUCAGAAAGCCACGGCUAACUACGUG